rnacentral:rRNA from 1 species
UACAGAGGUCUCAAGCGUUGUUCGGAUUCAUUGGGCGUAAAGGGUGCGUAGGCGGCGCGGUAAGUCGGGUGUGAAAUCUUGGAGCUUAACUCCGAAACUGCAUUCGAUACUGCCGUGCUUGAGGACUGGAGAGGAGACUGGAAUUUACGGUGUAGCGGUGAAAUGCGUAGAUAUCGUAAGGAAGACCAGUGGCGAAGGCGGGUCUCUGGGACGGUACUGACGCUGAGACGCGAAAGCGUGGGGAGCAAACAGG